rnacentral:rRNA from 1 species
GACGAACGCUGGCGGCGUGCCUAAUACAUGCAAGUAGAACGCACAGUUUAUACCGUAGCUUGCUACACCAUAGACUGUGAGUUGCGAACGGGUGAGUAACGCGUAGGUAACCUGCCUGGUAGCGGGGGAUAACUAUUGGAAACGAUAGCUAAUACCGCAUAAUAUUGAUUAUUGCAUGAUAAUUGAUUGAAAGAUGCUAUUGCAUCACUACCAGAUGGACCUGCGUUGUAUUAGCUAGUAGGUGAGGUAACGGCUCACCUAGGCGACGAUACAUAGCCGACCUGGGAGGGUGAUCGGCCACACUGGGACUGAGACACGGCCCAGACUCCUACGGGAGGCAGCAGUAGGGAAUCUUCGGCAAUGGACGAAAGUCUGACCGAGCAACGCCGCGUGAGUGAAGAAGGUUUUCGGAUCGUAAAGCUCUGUUGUAAGAGAAGAACGGGUGUGAGAGUGGAAAGUUCACACUGUGGCGGUAUCUUACCAGAAAGGGACGGCUAACUACGUG